UGCAAACGGGGCGGGCCACGGCACCCCGAGGAGAGCCCCGAGCGUGAGGAGAGAAGGGCCGAGAGCGGCGGGCGGAAACAUCGCUCCUCCUGUGAGGGAAAACACCUGGCAGCGAGGGGUGACACAGCUCUCCCUAUUAGAAAUAUGUUCAGAGAGCAGUGUCCGAACGGCACCAUCUCCUCCUCCAGGACUGGUGUUGCCACACACACACCUGAAGUUGCCAGCACCCACAGCACAGAGCCUGUCAAGCCUCCUGCUAAUACCACUCCAGAUGCUGAUGGCUCUAUCUUUCCCAGGCGAAGGGGGCUGGAAUCUCCAAGGACAACCAUUUUUCCAGCAAUGCCUUUGGACAUUGACAAUUUUUCAUCUUGACAAGGAAUAGACAAACCAGAGAACUGCAGAUGAAGCUGCAACAGAUGCAUUUGCCACGUAAAAACAAUAAAUAUGAUCAUCCACUUG